rnacentral:lncRNA from 1 species
CUGAGGUUUCUGGAAAGGACCCACCUAUUUGGGUCAUAAUUCUUCACUGUUUUCACAGGAAUCAAAGAUUGGCUGCAGGAAGUGACAGCACCUGUCUCCUGACUGCAGCCCACGGAAGUGAAUGGUGCCCUGUGGUCCAGAGCCCGAUCCUGACAGAUGAAGCUACAGAGGCUGGAGUCAGGUGGUGGAGAAGGGCUGACAUCUCCGCAGUCCUCGGAGGACCCUUCACGUCUCUGCCCCAGCCGUCAAGGCUGAUCUUCAGCCCACCUCUGAGAGCUGCUGGGGAUGCUUCUGGGCCUCAGACCCUGCCUCUCAAAUGCUCAGAUGCAGCUGCUCCUUCGACUCUGCCUUUCUCCACUCUUGGGUGACUGUCCCCAUUGAGUCAUUUGUGUGCCAGCUUCAUCCUUUGAUUCUCUCUCAGGCAGGCCAUUUGCCCAAGACUAAUGAAUGACUGUUAGCAUCGGAUUCACUUGGACAACUCAAUAAAAAUGUAAAUUCCCUGGCCA